rnacentral:rRNA from 1 species
CUACGGGAUGCACCAGUGAGGAAUAUUGCACAAUGGGGGGAACCCUGAUGCAGCAACGCCGCGUGGAGGAUGACGCAUUUCGGUGUGUAAACUCCUUUUAUAUGUCAUGAAAAUGACGGUAGCAUAUGAAUAAGCACCGGCUAACUCCGUGCCAGCAGCGCGCGGUAAUACGGAGGGUGCAAGCGUUACUCGGAAUCACUGGGCGUAAAGGACGCGUAGGCGGGUUGGAAAGUCAGGUGUGAAAUCCUACAGCUUAACUGUAGAACUGCACUUGAAACUUCUAAUCUAGAGUAUGGGAGGGGGAGAUGGAAUUAGUGGUGUAGGGGUAAAAUCCGUAGAUAUCACUAGGAAUACCUAAAGCGAAGGCGAUCUCCUGGAGCAUUACUGACGCUAAGGCGUGAAAGCGUGGGGAGCAAACAGGAUUAGAUACCCGCGUAGUC